CUUUGACUAGACUUUCUAAUUGCAUUUUUUUUUUACUUCAAAAUAAAUUUCCUUCUUCAAAUACCAUGUAUUCUGAUACUGGGCUUCUUUCUAAAAGCCCACAUUAAACAUUGGACCCAUUCUUAUUGGGCUUCAACCUUAUUGUGCAUUGGCUCAAAUUCGGUUAGCUCAAAGCCCUUUGACCCGAUCGGCGUCCGGCGGGUCUCUUCUCCGGCACGGUAAUCGGAACUUCCAGCACUCCUUCCCUCAACAAUACUUUUGUGCUUCCGCAGAAAUAGAUGGUUAGUGUCCUCUGGCUGCUCUUCGCAUAGUGUACAUCUACAGCAAAUGUGCAUUCGUCUUCUUUGCAAAUUUGACUGUGGGAGACAUGCAUUUUUUCGCCUACUAACCAAGUGAAGAUCUGAACUUUGUAAGGGGCAUGGCAUUUCCGAACUUUCUUUCCAAAGCCAAAUUGAUGUUGCAUUUUGUAGAUUGAGCAGAAGGGUGUAGCAUGAUUUGAGUUUCGGCAACUUGGGCAGACCUUAGGCGGGUACUUCUUGGAAGUCGAAUAGAGAGCACCAACCCAGGCCAUAAGAGCCUUCUGAUCGACUCAUUGACCCCGUCCAUGUAUGGGGAAGUGUAAGAUGAAGGGUGAGAGAAGAACAAAUAUUGUUCCUCUAGCAUUGAAGAACCAUGAAGUGAUGCAUAUAUCUAGCCUCAAAGACACCACACAAGUUUGGAAUCAUGUGAAUAUAGAACACAACACGUUUUGAGCACAUCCAACGUUACCACCGUCAUCAACUCUCGCAAUGUCAUCUAAAUUGUCGAUUCUUGUGUGGGACACUUGCAGUCCCAAGUCACGAUGGAUAUGUUAGUAAGUGGUUGGCUUUAUUUAAAUGUUUAUAAAUUACCUUGUGAAGGGUGACUUCCCUAAUUAUAUCAUGGCUGUCGGUAAUUCUUUAGAAAGUAGGAAGUUUGGUUUAAAUACGUGCCACUUGUUGAUUGCAAUAAAUUUCUAAAGUUAUGCUAUGUCCGAUUUUGUUUAGGGCAAUAAAUUGUUGGUUAAAUUGGCUGAUUUGGUUAUUCAAUUUGUCAACUUUCCUACACCAAAAUGUUGUUAAGUUGAAAAUUAUAAGCAACUUUAAUCUAUUAGUGACAAAUGUCAUGGUAAAAACUUAGCCGCGCUGGAUAUUUGCGCAAACCAAUGAAUGCAAGACAUGUACAACGACAUACCUAGUGUAAUUCCACAAAUGAGGUCUAAAAAGAGUACAGUGUACGUAAACCUUACUCUAACCUUUGAGGUAGAGAGGUUGUUUUCGGUAUAUCUUCGCCUUAGGAGAAGGAAGAUCAAAAAGGAAAAGAAAAAUGAAAGUGAAGAAAUCAUGGCAAAACCUAUUAAAAGCAUGAUAAAGUAUUAUUAAAAUAUAAGAACAGAAAUUACAACAAAAUAGUGUGAUAAAAGUACAAGAGACCGAAGUUGCUCGGACUCGGGUGCGGGUGUCCGAUACGGAAGUGGAUCUAGAGGUCGGGUCAUUCAUGAUCUACUCAGGGAUAUGGAUACGGAUGUGGAUUCGCCUAAAAAUAAUUAAAUUAUCUUUAAAAUAGAGUUAUAAAACCUAAGUUAUGAGAUAUUACGUAGAGAACUUGAGGAGAAUCUGGACAGUGAUUAAAGGAAAAUGAGUGACAUAGAAAUUCUAUAUAAAAGGUAUUCCAUUUUCUUCAAUUUCACCUUAGCUUUUCUAUUAAUUACAGAAAGCAUUAAAAAACUGUUUGGACUUUCCCCAUCAAUUUUGGUCAAAGUACGCAAAAUCGGUUGACCAAAUCGGACACAGAUCCCAACACCUACCCCACACCCACACCCAUGUCGUGUUGACACGGGUGUGACACCAAAAGUGAAAAGUCCGAGCAACUUAGCAAGAGACAAUAGAUGAUGAUAGAAAUUGAAGGACAAGAAACUACCUGAGAAACACUACGAUUACUAGUAUGGAAGGAUAAAUGAGACAACACUCUACUAUCUACUAAUCUUCUACCAUAGUUCGUGCCCAACAUAACAGUGUAAUCAAAAGCAAAAAGCGCAAAAAAACUCCAAGGUUCAUAGGGGCUUUAAGCGCAAAUAAAGCAUGAGAUUUAUUGAGAAUAGGUGCAGAUGGAGAAUAUAUAUAUAUAUAUGUGUGUGUGUGUGUGUGUGUGUGUGUGUGUGUUUUGUCCAUGACUAACAAUUGUAAGCAUGAAUAACAAAUAUAUGAACGAAGAAAUUGAUUGUUUUUAUGAUUCAUUGAAAUAUCAAUGGUUUAGUGUUGCCUUUUGGGAAAUGCUCAUUCACAAGGGAAGAGCUUUGAUGACAACACCUGGCGCACAUUAGCAAGGUUAAACAGUCAACGCAAUUUGAGCCUCUCUUCAGGGCUUAAGCACGCCUUUAUAACACUGCUCCACAACCUCCUAUCUAAGGUCAUGUCCUUGUAAGGCUCAACUGUGUCAUGUCUUGUCUAAUCACCUCUCCCCAAUACUUCUUCGGUCUAUCUCUACCUCUCCUGUAAUCAUCCAUAGCCAAAAACUUUAACGCCUCAGAACAAGCGCAUUCAUGCAUCUCCUCUUCACAUGUUUGAAUCGUCUCAGUCUCGAUUCUUGCAUUUUUUCCUCCACCGAGGCUACUCCUACCUUGUCCUGAAUAUCUUCAUUUCUAGUCUUAUCUUUCUUAAUAAGCCCAUACAUCUGCUGCAUCAUCCUCAUCUCCACAACCUUUGAUCUUCUAAAUAUGAGAGCUCUUGACUGGCCAACACUCUGCCUUAUACAACUUAGUUGGUAUUAACCACUUUAUGGAACUUACCUUAAGUUUUGGUGGCAUCUUUUUAAUACUCCGGAUGUGAGCCUCCAUGUCAUUCACCAUGCACCAUAACGAUGUGUGACACCAUUGUCAAUCUUCUUAUUUCCUUGGAUAAUAAACCCAAGAUACUUGAAUCUUUCUUUCUUUUGGAUGACAUGUGCACUAAGCCUCACUCCACACCAACCUCGGGCUUGCAUCGCUGAAUGUGUCCAUAUAUACAUCCACCCCGUAAUCAUGGUUAAGUUGUAUGCAUUCUCACUCUAAUUUUUAACUACUAAGGUUAACGUACUUGAUUUGUAUAAACACCUGGGGUGCGUAAGUAUUUACCCAAACAUCCCUUGGGUAUGAAACAAGAAUGUUCAGCUCAAUUGGUAUAGGUGUAUUUACGUCUGGCACUCCAUAAAAUUGAUGUAUUUUGAAAAUCAAAGGAUGGAGUUCGCCAAAAAUAUUAUCUAGUUCUGAGUCUUUUAUUUGUGUAUUGACAACCUCUAAACUUAGUCCAUGUCAAAAGGACUUGAUUUUUAACUCUUAACAGGAGGUUGAUAUUUGUUGGCGCUGAAUUCAUAAGAUAAAAUUGACACCUUCCAUUCUCUUUUGUUUAUUCUUUGACCUGAUGCAACAUUUGCCCUGAUCUUUUGAGAAAAUUAUUUAACCCCAUGAGGAUGUAGAUGGAUAGUGCAAAUUAUAUUCAACUAUGUGAGUAUUCUUGAUCUAUUUCUUUAUAAUUCUUAGAUGUUCGACUUUUUUCAGUUUAAUAUACCACAUCAGUAUAUGCAUAAAAUGCUUUUGGUCUAUCUUCUCUCUUGUUCUAUAUUUUCUAAUCUUAUAUAUAUCUUGUCUUGAGUUUGCCAAGUAUUUAGAAUAGAUUUCAGCGUUGUUGGUGCUUUAAUUUUUAUAUUCUCUUUGUAGUACUCCAAAUUUAAUCCUUUCAAAUUGGGAAUGUGAUAGUUGGGAACUGUGGGGAAUAAAGUAAUAACAAAAAUGAAUUUUGGACCAAGCACCUUAGGUUCUUCAGCCACUUCAGAUGCUGUUAAGAUUCUUUAAGUUCAUAUUGUCCUGUAAAUCUCCUCCACAAUGCCUAGCAUAACUAAGAAUUCUUGAGAUCUCCACUACUGUUUCAAUGUGUUAUGUGAAAAAUCUCUUUUCAAAGUUGUAGACUUCAAGAUCUUGUAAGGAUAUGAUAUCUGUAAUCAUAUCUAUGAUCCUUAAUAACAAUCUCUAUUCUACAAGUAUGCAUAGGGAUAAAUAAGCAUGUGGGCGCUAAAAGAUAAAUUAACAAUCCCUGAAUCCUGAGGAAUAGAGAUAGUGGACUUCUUAGGAGUACAGUUGACAAUCCAACCGAAAAACAGAUAGUGGACUUCUUAGGAGUUCUCUAAUUAAUGUAUUCCUCAGCAUACCCUUUAUGUUGGCCACCAUCAAAGAAGUGUGAUUACAUUGUUCUUUGCACCAAAAACUAAAAUACAAUUCCAUUUGAUCUGCCAUCAAAAUCCUUUAAUUUCUCUCCUUCCAUAUGUUCCACCAACUGCAAGCUGGUACCAUUUUCCACCAAUUUUAUUUUACUCUUACAUCCCACCUUUUCUAAUGUAGCAGCUUAGCAAGUGUGCAUUAUGUUCUGGCAUUGUCCAAUCCUCCCUAGCCAGACAGAAAAAGAUUGCCCAGAUUGGAGAUGUUACCUUACAAUGAAGGAAUAAGUGACUGUUAGUUUCUGCUGCCUCCAUACAUAAAGAGCAUCUAGAUGUUAUCUGGAUUUUCCUCCUCUGAAGUGUUUCAUGAGUGAGACAUGCUUUCUUUAUUACUAUUCUUGAAAAGCAUUUCACCUUUGUUGGUGCCAUGCUUUUCCAUACAUAAAGAGCAUCUAGAUGUUAUCUGGAUUUUCCUCCUCUGAAGUGUUUUAUAAGUGAGACAUGCUUUCUUUAUUACUAUUCUUGAAAAGCAUUUCACCUUUGUUGGUGCCAUGCUUUUCCAUACAUAAAGAGCAUCUAGAUGUUAUCUUGAUUUUCCUCCUCUGAAGUGUUUCAUGAGUGAAACAUGCUUUCUUUAUUACUAUUCUUAAAAAGCAGUUCACCUUUGUUGGUGCCAUGCCUUUUCCAUAUAGUUUUCCAAGGGGGCUUUUAAAACUUCCUGUCAUCUCAGAUAAACCCCUGUUGUAUACUCUAAUUAAUAAGAAAUAUCCAUCUUCAUUGUGCCCCCAUCUGAUGGAGUCGGGAGUAGUGGUGUCGUCCCUGUAAAAUUUCCUAUCCUUUCUAGUAGUUCAAUCACCCUUUUCACUUCUCAAUUAUCCAACAAUCUCCUGAAAAUUAGAUUCCAUCCCUGUGCUGACGAAGUCUCUUCUAUUGUCAUAUCUGGAUUGGUGCUGAUAGAAAAAAGUUGGUUUCUGGUGACCAACGUAUGAGCAAAGACCUGUUUUUCCCUGGAAGACAUUAUUGAGUCCUAUACAUAACAUGUCAAACACUGAUUGUGUAGUUUGUUUCUCAAUGUUUAGGUUCCAUUUACUAUCGACUAUAUUAUUCAAACACUUCCAACUGUUUUUUCUGUAACGUUAUGUUGGGCGAUGUGGCCAAAUUGGUUCUCAUUAUGUGUAUGUCGCAGAUAUACAUCCUAAUACUGAUAAUUAUUCUGAUAAUUGCCACUGGUUGUUGAUGGUUACUUCGUUUACCCAGAUUGGUUGUUGAUAAGAUUAAUUUGUGCAUUUCUCAAUUGGUGCUUGUGAUUAUUGCUUGAAGUGAUGGAUCAUGUGACAUCUAAUAGUUGUGGAGAGGAGGAUAGGUAUGCUUUAGUGAGAAAUUUAGCACAUUAAUGUGUUUUUCUUAAGGGGGGACUGGAUAAUCUACUCGAAAAACUAGGCAGGUCCAUUAUUCAUCGAGUUUGGUAGAGAAAGUUGCUGACCAUUCAAUAGAUCUAGACGAUAACCAAUAGCUUAGGAGGUAAAGAGACUGAAUUCCCUCUACCUCCGACUUGGGGUUAAUUAUCCAUUAAGACUUACAUCCCAAGUUUUAAACUUUGAGACCUUUAGUUAAGACAGAAAGAUUUCAAAUAUAUCGUUACUCCUCGUCAUAAAGAUCUUUCGUUCUCAUAGUUCGACUCAAUGGUCAAGUGUGGCAGAAGAUUGAUGCAACAAUGUGUUGAACUGAAUUUAACAGUGUUCAUCCAAAACACGAAUAUACGUGAAAAAUUACGAAAUAUUUAGGUUGAAUUCAUCGAGUUUAAAAUUUGCAUUUACUCAUAGUUUGGUUGAAAAUUGCAUUCCACUAGAUAGACUGAGGCAUUUCAGGUGGAGUUAGCAUUGCUGCAUUUGGUCAGAGCACGUGUCAUUUUAUCAUUGGUCACCAAGAGUAAACAGCAUCUGCCCAAGCCUAUUCAGCACGUGGCUUCUGUCUAACUAUUCUACUAACCAUUCAAACUUUUAUCUUUUGUUUCGGUGUCUGAUAUCCGUAUUGAAUUCCUGCAUAUUCAAAUCAUGUCGUGUAAAUUCAUGUAAGUGGAAAGUCGCUUCGUAACAUGAUUUUUUCAUAUUCAUGAUUCGAACUCAAGAUUUUUGGUUAAAAAAUGGAGCAAUCAACUUCAUUUUCUAGAAGCUUCUUUCUUGAAUGAAACUUAUAUAUCCUUUUCUUUUUAUUUAUUUCAUCUCUUCACGUGUGUGAUUUGUUGUGUAGCUUACAUCUUUUUGAGCCCAUAUAUCAAAUCCCAAGAAUUCACCACAUCAAUAGUUAUUAUAAAUAAUAAAUACCAACACUCAAUGCCAAUAUAGUUAUUAUAUGUGUUGUGAAAAUAGGAAGGCUCUUUCAUGUUAGGUGUCCAGAUCUAUUAUAUUUGAAUUUUAUUUUCAUCACAUUUGCUAUUAUAUCUACUAACGCUUCGUUCUAAUGUAACAUAUUUUGAUAAACAAGAGAUAUUUUUAUCUGCAUUUGCACCUGCACCUUAGUGAACGAAUUAGUUCGCGUAUAAUUCGUGCAGAAAGGUGUAGGUGUUCAUGCAGACAAAAAUGGUAUCUUGGCCUCCCAUUAGUUUCCCAAUCUUUACCUUUCAAAGUUGUUGCACUAAGUGUAAGCAUUGGUUGAAUCUGUGUUGAUGGGAGAUGGUAGUAUCCAACGAAUUAAUCGAGGAAUUCGACGCGCAACGAGGCAGGCCCGUCUAGUCCUAUCGGGAUGAUAAUGGAUAUCAAUGGUGUUGUUUUGAAGACGAUUAAUUGCUUCUACACCAUUAAAGUUUGUGGUGGAAUGAAUAUGAUUUCUCCACUUAAAAUAUAAUCAGAUAUUUGUCUUCGAGCUGUAGGAUGGUAAAAUAUCCCAUUAUGGAACGCUUUCCCUUUUAAUUGGCGAUAAGGCUCCGUUUGGCCAUAGAUUUUUCAAAUAAAAAGUGGAAUUUUUUUAAGCAAAUAGUGUGUCUAUAUAAUUUGCUAUUAUUUGACGAAUAACUCAAAUUUUCAGUUACUAGAAAAAAUUAGUGUUUUGGGAGCUUGUAAAAUUGAAGUUUUACACCAAACACAUCCUUUAGAGUAGUUGUUUGCAUUGUAUCACAUAAUUUUUUACAUGAACACCAAAGGAGUGAUGGAAUAUUCAAUAAAUACGAAAGCGAUGAUAUGAUUGUUGCGGAUCAGGGAAAUAACGUCACGUGCUUCAUCUACUUCACGAUGUAUGAAAUGAUGUAUGUCGCACUCUCUCUGAACAACCACUACUUGUUAUUUGUUGCAACAAAGAUUCAACUAACUUUGUGGUGGAGUCAUGAAUCUUUGUUACAUUGACGUUUUUAUCUUGUUAUAUAAUACAAACUUAUGGUUA